CCCCUUCACUCACCUGUGAGUAAUUAAGGAAAACAGUGACAAGUCCAAACAUUAACAUUACAAAACAAACCAGAGUAUUAUCCACUCAUUACGCACAAAACAAGAAAUCAGGAGAAGACACGCUUGACACAAAAAAGUUUAAAAAUCAACACAGAUUGAUCCAUUUUCAAAGAAAUAACCUGCUUCUUCCUGAACAAAUAAAAUGGAAUCUAAGCCCCACCCCUUGUUCACCAAAAUGAUUUCUACAGGAUGAAACAGAGAGCUGUCAACAAGUUUGAAUGGGCUCAGCCACCUGUGGGCAGCGCCUGCCCUGGAUUUCGGUGUCAAGAGGUGUUUCCCUCAUCGACGAAGCGUUUUGAUCUGAGCAGGAAUGAGCUAAUAUUAACAGUGAGCUGAAAUGUCUGGACUUCAUCUGGUCUGCCACUCACAAUGAUGACAAAUGAAAGCAAACAGAGCGGGAAACUGAAAGUAGUGGAUCAGUGUUUUCUUUUUUCUGAGCAGCACAAAUAUUCCAAAGUUCUUCGUCACUCAGCACCACCUGAGUGCAAGUUCAGGCGUUAGAAGUUGGAACUGGUGCAAAUUCAUACACAUGUUGAUUUUCCACUAAAUGAAGUCAUACAUGACCCAAAGCAAAGGCGUGAUUAGCUGUGCUUGUGAAACAAAUUAGUAGUUUCUGCAAAAAAAAAAAAA